rnacentral:rRNA from 1 species
UACGGGGGGGGCAAGCGUUGUUCGGAAUUACUGGGCGUAAAGGGCUCGUAGGCGGCCAACUAAGUCAGACGUGAAAUCCCUCGGCUUAACCGGGGAACUGCAUCUGAUACUGGAUGGCUUGAGUUUGGGAGAGGGAUGCGGAAUUCCAGGUGUAGCGGUGAAAUGCGUAGAUAUCUGGAGGAACACCGGUGGCGAAGGCGGCAUCCUGGACCAAUACUGACACUGAGGAGCGAAAGCCAGGGGAGCAAACGGG